ensembl:lncRNA
AAACUUACAGGAGGAACCUUCAGAAUUUUUUAUAUCACCUUUUGCUGCUGAGAAAAUUGCCAAAGACUUCAGCGCCGUUCUGUUACCGAGUCUCCUCGAGAAAUGCAGUUUUGACACAAGAAAGACAGUGAAUACAGAAAAAAGAAAGGCCAUCACCAGGCGUCUUACACAUCUGGUUUUAGAUAACGUCAGAAGCUCAGAAUAUCUGAGUGCUCUUGAAAAUAACAAACUUCAGAUUGUAAAGAAAAUGACUAAAGCCCUUAGAAAGGAGCUUGGCUCUUUAGAUCAAUUCGUACAUUCUGUUCUUACACCAGAUGAUUCAACAUUUGCUCAACUUUUUCUGGCUCAUCUGGAAAUCAUUAUUGAGGUUGUACUCAAUCCCCCAAUGAAGUCUAAAAUUGCUAGGUUCUUUCGAGCAGUGGGAAAAGCUUUAAUGAAGCCGUUCAGCUGCUGCUUUAAGGGCAGCAGUGAUGACUAAAUGACCAUCUUGACUUUUUUCCCCACUAGCAUGCUUCUUUAGAGAUCUUGAAGCAUUUGGCCAUCAGAAGUAUACUUCAUCUUGUCUCCCUAUAUUUUCUUUUCACACCCCCAACCGGCCGCAGCAGAUGGCCGCCCCUUCUUGAGCCGGGUUCUGCUGGAGGUUUCUUCCUAUUAAAGGGAGUUUUUCCUCCCCACUGUCGCCAAAUGCUUGCUCAAAGGGGAUCUUUUGAUUGUUGGGUUUUUUCUUGGUAGGACAGGGGUGGCCAAUUCCAGGCUUCAAGAGCCCAUGUCCUGCAGGUUUUAGAUGUGUCCUUGAUCCAUCACAGCUGAUGUAAAGGGCUACAUUACCUCCUCAACAUUUCUUGAAGUUCUUCAGAGGCCUGGUAAUGAAGUGAUCAUUUGAUUCAGGUGUGUUGACCGAGGGUGUUAUCUAAAACCUGCAGGACAUCAGCUCUCGAGGCCUGGAGUUGGCCACCCCGCUGUAGGGUUUUCACCCUACAGUAUAAAGCACCAUGAGGAGACUGUUGUUUUGCCGUGAUGCUAUAUAAUCUUGAAUUUAACUGAAUUUUAAAAACAUCUAUUAUAGCAUCAAAGUAAAACUAAACGACUAAAGUAUACUUCAUUCAAAUGAAUCAAAACCUGACAUGAAGAAAAUAUUAUUCAGCAUCAAAUAAAAAUCCAAAUCACAAAUACAUUCUGAUUUUCUUGUGUUUUAUUGUGUUGUCAAGUAUGAAAAAAGUGUUGCAUUUGUGCGCUCUGAUCAUCAGUACUGGCAGUGGCGGCUAUGGUUAGUGUUGCAAAAAGCAAUUUCACCCCGGUUCGUGUAUUCGUCAGGCCUCCAGAAAGAACACCGGGACUCAGUAGUCAAUUAACAAUAUUUUUAUUAAUACACACUUAUUGAUUAUACCUUCUAGAAGGGAGAUGUACAGAACCCCGGAUUUCCUCUGCAGAUCUCAACUCCUUUGUCUGUUACAUGCAGUUUUGUAUAAGUGACCCC